rnacentral:lncRNA from 1 species
GAAAAAGCUGCGACUCCCCCGUUUACCGGGGACCCUUACCAGGGGGCUCCCCGCUGUGUUUGCAACACCCCCAUCGAGAGGAGAGAGAACCCUCCCUCACGCCCACGGCUGGCUGCCGAGGGUUUGAGGGACGAACAGCGGAGUAUUUACCAGCUGGUGUCACGACGCGAGAGGUGGAGGGAGGGGCGCCAAAACCCUCAAGGAAUGCGACUUCAGAGACCCAAGACGCGGUUGCAGGGACUCACAGGCUGCGCUGUGCACACUCGACAAUACACACAAGUCGCCUGCCUCCCCGUCCACACGCACAUAGUAACAUAUCAAGCAUCGUCCUCAUCAAAAAGCAACAGAAAAAAAACCACUUGAGGUACCUGAUUCUGGGGUACACCAGGCACGUUGUCCCGAAUCCAUCCCACCCAGACACCCCCUGACUCGUACACACAUGUACAGAAACGCAGACACACAAAGACGCCCACGGACACACUCACACGGACGAAAACCACCUUGUGCUGCCUUGCCCGCGUCCGCGCACGUCCUGGCGCCCCCGUGUGUUACUUUGGGGGAUCGCAGUCUCCGCCAAUCCAGAGCAGGCUUCGCGGGGGCGGUGCCCAGGCUCUCUCCACCUCCUCCACCCACCACGGGUUGCCCACCUAGAAAAGGGGAAAGCGAUACCGGCUGGCCACGGGCAAGUCUGGAACUGGGGGUUAGAUGCCUGGAUCCUGGCUGAUGGAAGCUGGUCUUGGAUGCCAAGUGGGACUUGGGAGAAGAACUCACAGAAUUUGGGUAGCAGCCGACUCCCAGGUCCAGGGAAAAGCGAGGCCCAGG